rnacentral:misc_RNA from 1 species
CCAACCAUCAAGCCUAGCUUGGUCUUGGACGUCGCCUGUGGGCGAGUCUCAAAACAAGUUGCGGUGCCACCCAGCCCCGAGCGUAGUAAGUUUCUCUCGCUCUGGGAGGUGGGUGUUAUGCCUGCAGAACCCUCAUACUUAAGA